AUGUCAUUUGCCGGCGUCUCUCUCGUCGGCGACGGCGAGGCCGUCGGCCACGCCAUCAACGUCUCUGCGGCCAGCGGGUACCACCUGCUCGUGGUUAACCGCUACUCGCACAUCAAAGCCACUACACCUAAUGGCGGGAAGGUCGUCUCUCUCCCGUUUACGGUAGGAGGCCAUCGUUGGCGCAUCAGCUGCUAUCCUAAUGGCGACCGCUCAGAUUGUGCGGACUCUGUAUCUCUUUAUUUUCGUCUUGAUGAAAAUGCUGUGGAGGGUCUGAAGGUACAGUACGGAUUUAGUUUCAUCGACGAGCUUGAGAAGCAAGAUUCAACAUAUAUUCGUGCAAAAGAGGCAGACAAUUUCUCCAGCUCUCAUCCCUCUUGGGGUUACAGGAAUUUCAUGAAAAGAGACGCCCUUGAGAAAUCAAAGCAUCUAAAAGAUGAUUGUUUCACCAUCCGAUGUGACGUCGCCAUUGCCACGACAGUUGAUCUCCACAUCAAGGUGCCGCCUUCUAGCAUAAAACAGCAUAUCAGCGACCUCUUCCUGUCCGAGGAGGGCACGGACGUGACAUUCAUGGUGUCCGGUCAGAAGUUCGCUGCCCACCGAUGCGUGCUUGCAGCUCGGUCUGUGGUUUUCAAGGCGGAGCUGCUUGGCUCCAUGAAGGAGGGCACUGUAGCAAGUGUCAUAGAUGUAGAAGACAUGGAAGCAAAGGUGUUUAGGCCUUGCUUGACUUUAUUUACACCGACUCGCUGCCCGAGAUGGAGAUAG
rnacentral:rRNA from 1 species